rnacentral:rRNA from 1 species
CGCGUAGGCGGUUUGUUAAGUUGGAUGUGAAAACUCUGGGCUUAACCCAGAGCCUGCAUCCAAAACUAGCAAGCUAGAGUUCUGGAGGGGAUAGCGGAAUUCCUGGUGUAGCGGUGAAAUGCGUAGAUAUCAGGAGGAACACCGGUGGCGAAGGCGGUUAUCUGGACAGAAACUGACGCUGAGGCGCGAAAGCUAGGGGAGCAAACAGGAUUAGAUACCCUGGUAGUCCUAGCCCUAAACGAUGGAUACUUGGUGUGACUGGGAUUGAAUCCAGUCGUGCCGAAGCUAACGCAUUAAGUAUCCCGCCUGGGGAGUACGGUCGCAAGGCUGAA